rnacentral:rRNA from 1 species
CGCGGCCUAUCAGCUUGUUGGUGAGGUAACGGCUCACCAAGGCUUCGACGGGUAGCUGGUCUGAGAGGACGAUCAGCCACACUGGGACUGAGACACGGCCCAGACUCCUACGGGAGGCAGCAGUUAGGAAUCUUGCACAAUGGGGGAAACCCUGAUGCAGCGACGCCGCGUGCGGGACGAAGGCCCUCGGGUCGUAAACCGCUUUCAGCAGGAACGAAAUUGACGGUACCUGCAGAAGAAGCCCCGGCCAACUACGUGCCAGCAGCCGCGGUAAUACGUAGGGGGCGAGCGUUGUCCGGAUUCAUUGGGCGUAAAGAGCUCGUAGGCGGUUCGGUAAGUCGGGUGUGAAAUCUCCGUGCUCAACACGGAGCGGCCACCUGAUACUGCCGUGACUCGAGUCCGGUAGGGGAGUGUGGAAUUCCCGGUGUAGCGGUGAAAUGCGCAGAUAUCGGGAGGAACACCAGUAGUGAAGGCGGCACUCUGGGCCGUGACUGACGCUGAGGAGCGAAAGCGUGGGUAGCAAACAGGAUUAGAUACCCUGGUAGUCCACGCCGUAAACGUUGGGCACUAGGUGUGGGUCUCUAUCGACGGGAUCCGUGCCGUAGCUAACGCAUUAAGUGCCCCGCCUGGGGAGUACGG